UACGUAGGGUGCGAGCGUUGUCCGGAAUUACUGGGCGUAAAGAGCUCGUAGGUGGUUUGUCACGUCGUCUGUGAAAUUCCGGGGCUUAGCCUCGGGCGUGCAGGCGAUACGGGCAAUACUUGAGUGCUGUAGGGGAGACUGGAAUUCCUGGUGUAGCGGUGAAAUGCGCAGAUAUCAGGAGGAACACCAAUGGCGAAGGCAGGUCUCUGGGCAGUUACUGACGCUGAGGAGCGAAAGCAUGGGUAGCGAACAGGAUUA
rnacentral:rRNA from 1 species